CAGUCGCCACGGGAAUACGUAGGGGGCAAGCGUUAUCCGGAAUUACUGGGUGUAAAGGGAGCGUAGACGGUUAAACAAGUCUGAAGUGAAAUGCCGGGGCUCAACCCCGGAGCUGCUUUGGGAACUGUAGAACUGGAGUGUCGGAGGGGUAAGCGGAAUUCCCAGUGUAGCGGUGAAAUGCGUAGAGAUGUGGAGGAACACCAGUGGCGAAGGCGACUCUCUGGUCUGUAACUGACGCUGAGGAGCGAAAGCGUGGGGAGCGAACAGGAUUAGAUACCCCUGUAGUCCCUGUCUCUUAUAA
rnacentral:rRNA from 1 species